CGCCCCUCCUGGGCGCGGUGCGUUCUUUUCUGCCGGGCCGCCGGAGAGGAAGGCGCUUCGGGCACCGGCGGCCUUGCGGGCGGGGCGGCAGCGCCUGCGGGCCUGUCACCGGGCUCUUUGAGGGGGUGGGGGGGAUUCCCUGCGGUGUUAGAUCCUCUUCUUUUUUUCUGCCGGGAACCCGGCUCCGAGCCAGAGCGCAUGGGUCCGCCUCGGGCCUCUCCGCUCUGUGGGUCCCGCGCCCGGGGCCUCCAUCCCGGUGCCCUCCGUCCACUGCCGGGCACAGCGGAGCGGUCGGCGUGGCCUCAGCCUCAAGGUCAUGUCAGGAGGUCCCCCUUCCUCUCCCCCUCCCCAGUUGACGCAGCCUCGAGCUUUCCUCCGCGCCUUCUGCUCUGUCGCGUUUUGUGAGUAUGUCGGAGCUGACCCUUCUCCUUAGCAAGCGCCGAUUUCGACUGUUCUCAGCUCAAACUAAAGCACAGUUUACCUACUAACAAUGAUUUCUGGUCUCGACGCAGUGGAGCAUUGUCGGCAUUUGUUCCCGGAUCUUCUUUUGUAAAUAUGCUCUGGAGACGUGGCAUUGAAGUUGGAGAAGAAUCCGUACAGUAUAGGAGGCCCUUAGGCUGUAAAUGCCGGCUAUACCCUUAGAUGCUUCGGGUCACAGAGAUGUGUAUUUCUGGAUACAAUACAGAAGAAACCGGUCAAGAGCUGGGAGACCGGAAGAACUUUCGCCUCUUCAAAAGCAAAGGUACAACAGAGCCUAUGAGUUGAAGAUGAAUGAAGGUCGUUGUGAUAAAUGUUUUCCAAAAACUUGUCAUAGAGGAUGGCUGUGCAUGUAACAAGCAUGUAAGUACCUGCAGAUGAAUGUUCAAGUCCUUAGCAGUGGUGUUUAAAAAUUCUUCAUCGCCUCAAAGGUGUGGCAUACAACAUUUUGGAAGGGAAAAUGAAGAAUUGGUCAAGAAGACAUGAAUUAAAGCGAAUGACGAAAAUUAAUAUUUUAUUUAACAUUGAUCAUCUCACAAUAAAUUAUGUAGAAAAAUAUAAGUUCAAAUGAUUUUAAUU